rnacentral:rRNA from 1 species
UGCGGUUAAAAAGCUCGUAGUUGGAUCUCGGCAGGCAGGGGGCGGUUCGCACUUUGUCGCUACUGCCCCAUUUGCCUGUGUGAUUGGCGGAGGUUUCGGGGUGCUCUUUGUUGAGUGACCCGGAGCGCCGUCAGGUUUACUUUGAAAAAAUUAGAGUGCUCAAAGCAGGCUUCUCACGCUUGAAUAUUCGUGCAUGGAAUAAUGGAAUAGGAACUCGUUUCUAUUUUGUUGGUUUUCGGAAAUCGAGUUAAUGAUUAAUAGGGACAAUUGGGGGCAUUAGUAUUCAGACGACAGAGGUGAAAUUCUUGGACCGUCUGAAGACUAACUACUGCGAAAGCAUUUGCCAAGAGUGUUUUCAUUAAUCAAGAACGAAAGUUAGAGGUUCGAAGGCGAUCAGAUACCGCCCUAGUUCUAACCAUAAACGAUGCCAGCUAGCGAUCCGCCGAGUUUUUUUUGUAGGCUCUGCGGGAAGCUUUCGGGAAACCAAAGCUUUUGGGUUCCGGGGGAAGUAUGGUUGCAAAGCUGAAACUUAAAGGAAUUGACGGAAGGGCACCACCAGGAGUGGAGCCUGCGGCUUAAUUUGACUCAACACGGGAAAUCUCACCAGGCCCGGACACUGGAAGGAUUGACAGAUUGAGAGCUCUUUCUCGAU